rnacentral:rRNA from 1 species
ACAUCCAGAGAAUUUAGCAGAGAUGCUUUGGUGCCUUCGGGAACUCUGAGACAGGUGCUGCAUGGCUGUCGUCAGCUCGUGUUGUGAAAUGUUGGGUUAAGUCCCGNAACGAGCGCAACCCUUAUCCUUUGUUGCCAGCACGUAAUGGUGGGAACUCAAAGGAGACUGCCGGUGAUAAACCGGAGGAAGGUGGGGAUGACGUCAAGUCAUCAUGGCCCUUACGAGUAGGGCUACACACGUGCUACAAUGGCGCAUACAAAGAGAAGCGACCUCGCGAGAGCAAGCGGACCUCAUAAAGUGCGUCGUAGUCCGGAUUGGAGUCUGCAACUCGACUCCAUGAAGUCGGAAUCGCUAGUAAUCGUAAAUCAGAAUGUUACGGUGAAUACGUUCCCGGGCCUUGUACACACCGCCCGUCACACCAUGGGAGUGGGUUGCAAAAGAAGUAGAUAGCUUAACCUUCGGGAGGGCGUUUACCACUUUGUGAUUCAUGACUGGGGUGAAGUCGUAACAAGGUAAGCGUAGUGCU